rnacentral:rRNA from 1 species
UACGAAGGGGGCGAGCGUUGUUCGGAUUUACUGGGCGUAAAGGGCGCGCAGGCGGCUUUGUUUGUCAGGCGUGAAAGCCCCGGGCUUAACCUGGGAACUGCGUUUGAUACGGCAGGGCUAGAGUUCGGGAGAGGAGAGUGGAAUUCCCAGUGUAGAGGUGAAAUUCGUAGAUAUUGGGAAGAACACCGGUGGCGAAGGCGGCUCACUGGCCCGAUACUGACGCUGAGGCACGAAAGCGUGGGGAGCAAACAGG